rnacentral:tRNA from 1 species
GGGGUUGUGGCUCAGCAGUAGAGCAUUUGCCUAGCAUGGGGCAAAGAUCUGGAUUCGAUCCCCAACACCA